rnacentral:rRNA from 1 species
CACUCCUGCGGGAGGCAGCAGUGGGGAAUAUUGCACAAUGGGCGCAAGCCUGAUGCAGCCAUGCCACGUGUAUGAAGAAGGCCUUCGGGUUGUAAAGUACUUUCAGCGGGGAGGAAGGCAAUACGGUUAAUAACCGUGUUGAUUGACGUUACCCGCAGAAGAAGCACCGGCUAACUCCGUGCCAGCAGCCGCGGUAAUACGGAGGGUGCAAGCGUUAAUCGGAAUUACUGGGCGUAAAGCGCACGCAGGCGGUCUGUCAAGUCGGAUGUGAAAUCCCCGGGCUCAACCUGGGAACUGCAUUCGAAACUGGCAGGCUUGAGUCUUGUAGAGGGGGGUAGAAUUCCAGGUGUAGCGGUGAAAUGCGUAGAGAUCUGGAGGAAUACCGGUGGCGAAGGCGGCCCCCUGGACAAAGACUGACGCUCAGGUGCGAAAGCGUGGGGAGCAAACAGGAUUAGAAACCCGAGUAGUCCCA